CCUACGGGGAGGCAGCAGUAGGGAAUAUUGGUAAUCUGGGAAACCGGGAACCAGCACGCCGCGUGCGCGAUGAAGGCCUUCGGGUUGUAAAGCGCUUUUUGAGGGGAUGAGAAGGACAGUACCCUCAGAAUAAGCCUCGGCUAACUACGUGCCAGCAGCCGCGUAAAACGUAGGAGGCGAGCGUUAUCCGGAUUUACUGGGCGUAAAGCGUGUGUAGGCGGUUUGAUAAGUUGGAUGUGAAAGCUCCCGGCUUAACUGGGAGAGGUCGUUCAAAACUAUCAGACUCGAGAGUGGUAAGGGAGGUGGAAUUCCGCGUGUAGUGGUGAAAUGCGUAGAUAUGCGGAGGAACACCAGUGGCAAAGCGGCCUCCUGGCCCAUUUCUGACGCUCAGACACAAAGCUAAGGUAGCAAACGGGAUUAGAGACCCCGGUAGUCUUAGCUGUAAACGAUGUGAACUUAUGUCGGUGGGGUUAAAUCCAUCGGUACUGAAGCAAACGCGAUAAGUUCACCGCCUGGGGACUACGGCCGCAAGGUUAAAACUCAAAGGAAUUGACGGGCCCCGCACAAGCAGCGGAGCGUGUGGUUUAAUUCGAUGUUACACGGAGAACCUUACCAAGGUUUGACAUGUAGUGGUAGGAAGCCGAAAGGCCUACGACCCUUCGGGGAGCUAUGA
rnacentral:rRNA from 1 species